UACGUAGGGACCGAGCGUUGUCCGGAUUCAUUGGGCGUAAAGAGCUCGUAGGCGGCUAUUCAAGUCGAACGUGAAAUCUCGGAGCUCAACUCCGAACUGCGUUCGAUACUGGGUAGCUAGAGUCUGGUAGGGGGAUCUGGAAUUCCUGGUGUAGCGGUGGAAUGCGCAGAUAUCAGGAGGAACACCGGUGGCGAAGGCGGGAUCCUGGGCCAGUACUGACGCUGAGAAGCGAAAGCAUGGGGAGCGAACAGG
rnacentral:rRNA from 1 species